UACCUACGAUUAUUUAUCGACGUGUGAAACGAGACGAGUCUAAUUAAAUUAAAUAAUGAAUCACUAAAAUUAUCUCGAACAACGUAAAAUAUUUCACUCAUACUUUGUGCAAAGUAGUCGUAAUUGCCUUGAACACUGGAAUCCUCAGAUCUGUUCCCACUACUUGUGAUCGAUCGGGAGUCACUGCUGAAUACACAAUCAUUUUCAUUAAUUAGUAAAAGAAAAUGCAAGAACAAAUAAAAUUCAACAAGUAAUAAAUUGAAAAUGCAUGUACAGUGGAAACAACAUUGACUGAAUUAAUGGCAUAGCAAGGGAAUUGAAAUUUAAAAUGAUAAUCAUUAUCAUUGCAAAAGAGUGUCGAGUAAUGAGUAACAAUGGUAACUUACCUGUGUGGUGACACUCUCGGAUGCUUGAAGAGCGGCUUUAUGAGAUUCUGCCAGAUGAGGGAUAUCAUCGUGGUGAUAAUAUUCGUACAUGCUCGUUCCAAGUAGCUCUUGUGGCAGGAAAC